rnacentral:rRNA from 1 species
UUUGAAAACUAAUAAAAGGUCUAGCCUGCCCAGUGACUUUGUUCAACGGCCGCGGUAUCCUAACCGUGCGAAGGUAGCGUAAUCACUUGUUCUUUAAAUGAGGACUAGUAUGAAUGGCAUCACGAGGGUUUUACUGUCUCCUCCCUCUAAUCAGUGAAACUAAUCUCCCCGUGAAGAAGCGGGGAUAAGCCUAUAAGACGAGAAGACCCUAUGGAGCUUUAAACACACAACAAUUGCCCUGCUCCCCCAUAAAUCUCCGGAAAGCCCUCUACCCGGGCAUUUUGAUUGCAAGUUUUAGGUUGGGGUGACCGCGGAGUAAAAAUUAGCCUCCACAGCGAAUGGGACUUCUCCCUAAACUCAGGGUUACGACCCUAAGAAUCAAUAAAUUGACACCCAUUGACCCAAUUUUUUUGACCAACGAAC